UUCUCUUUCGUAUCUCUUGCCCGGCUCCAUUGUCCGUUCUCUUUCUCUCUUCUGUAUUCGUUUGCGGACAUAUAGAACAGUGUAUUCGAGGAGGCGAGAGCGAGCGGCCAUCCUUUCCGCACGAGGCGAAACUAAGGGGAAAUUGACCGAUGUGCAGUGGUUCUCCAUGACUCAGGAAGCGAAGAGUUAACCAGCCUUGAAAGCUCGACGAAUGCAAAUCGCGAGGGUUUACCGAGAGGGCUGGCCAGCCAAGAGGCCGCGGCGGGAGGAAAGGAAGGAAGAAGGAUGGACCAGUCGCGGGGGUGCAGAGUGUAGAAUGGCUGGUAGGAAGGGUGGCUUGAUAUCGGCGAGAAGAAUGCUUUUAACACGACCUUGAACGUGACUCUACAACUCGGAAGCACGAUUAGCGAUGGCGUUUAUAGUCGGUGCACCAGUGGAGCGAGCGACGAUAACGUCGCAGCGAGUUACUCGAAUCCCAAUAAAUCCAACCCGCCCUUCGCGGCCUAGGAAGCCUGCAUGAGCUUGCUCCGAGAUUAGUAUUAAUUUAUAGCGUUGGCAGAUAGGAUAGAAUGCGGUGGUGGCCGGCGCUUGCCGAGAAUGGAACGGGUGGAAAGUGAAAUUUCGCGGCCGCCGGAACAGGACCGGGUCGCCAUUUCCAUUUUCCGCGCUGAUAAUUGCAAGCUGAGGAUUCCGCUUUCGCGCAAAUAGGUAAAGUUUGCCCUGCUUGCUCGACCGAAUAUCACGCACAGAUUUCAUCGAAGAGAUGAAGUAUAAUCAGGAUAAUUACAUGUAUAUAAACGUAAAGCCUUUGUUAUUAAUAAUAAUUUAGAAUCUUUUGUACUAAUUCUUUCAUUAAAACAUCCUGCGCACUUGCAAAAGAAGACAGUAAUCAACUUCCAUCGGAAGGAAGGUCGCACGGCAUUUUUUGCGAUUUCGAACUUAGAUUAAAAGAUUUCCUUCCCCUAGGAUUGAGACGCGCUAUACUUGGCUUGUGGCUUUAUCUUAUUAAGGAGACGUAACAGAGACGCCUGUUAGGGAUGGCACGCGGCAAAGGAGAAAAAUGAAGAAAAGGCGACAACCUACCCCACGGACCAUCGGUCAUCGCCCAAAACCUCCCCGUCGCUUUUUUCUCACCCUCCGCUCCGCGAUAUCACCCUGUAAUGAAUCUGUCACAGAGCUGCGAGAUUUCAUUUCCUUCCUCCCUCAGUCUGGAGAGAACACAGCGUAAUUAUUUUUGCAACUCUAGACUUUGCAAGAUAAAUGACACCAAUUUUUAAGCCGUUCGCCGGAAUCGAUAAUAUAUUAAAAUUUUCCUUCUACUCGUUGUGGAAUUAAAUGUGGUUUGAUACAUU